AUGUUUGGGACGGUACACCGAGUGGCGGAGGGACUCCACGCAGAGUUCCGCGGUCGUUGUGAGGUUAUGGUUGUCCGCGUUGUGCUUGUCUUUUAAGAUCCUUUGGACCAUGGACUCUGCUGUGGCAAGGUUCUUAGAAGACAGGGACAACGUGGACAGUAGGAUUUGGUAAGGCUUAGGAUCCGUAGGGACUAUACCGGAUUUGGUGAGUGAAACAUGACAUGUUUUCGGAAACCUUGUGGCUUUGCAAGCUUCUUUGAUGGCAGAUGAUGUAGCUUGGACACAGUUACGGUGGUGAUAGGCGGCAGUGUAGAUGAAAAACAAGAAACAUAAGUGAAAAUGCGGGGCCAUGAAAUAUGGUAACAAGAAAUGGCAAAGGUUAACUUGGAGAGUGUUUUGAAAAUUGUGUGGAUCACGGGAUGGAUCUGAUUUUAUGGUGUGAAGCAGUACAUAU
rnacentral:lncRNA from 1 species